CGUCCUGAGCUCCUUGUUGUGCGCCGCCCAGGAGGGCUUGCACUCGCCGCUCGACCAGAGCCACCACGAGCUGGGCGUCGUUGCACUUGCCGGCGACCUGGCCGUCCCCUCUGCACCGCCCUCCACCUCAAAUUUGGACGAGCAUGUGUUUGUGUAUGUUCUCAGUUAUUUUUUGCACACAAGGUGUUUGUGUGUUUGUCCGAGCCAGUUUCAGUCACAGAUCCUUAAGGAUGCCAUCUCAGGUCAUGGAUCCACUGUGGCCGCUUCGUCCUUCACUGAGGACCUUCUCAUCCCCACAGAGAUCAGAGGUAACCCACACAGUUGGAAAUAGUUGCUCAAGUUCUUGCUUCAACAAAUUUUGUUCCGGAUAUAAUUUAUGGCCAUGCCAUGUAUUAAUUAUUCUUAUAAUGGUCAUCUGAAUUUGCAAAGAAAAUUAUAUUUUGGAAGCAGGAACCCUUACCUCAUAAGAUGGGUGAGCUGUAGGAUUUGGUUCUGUUCAACUUGAAUUAGUUUUUGCUCAUCAUGUUCUCUGUAUUAGGAAUUCAGAUGCCUUCCAGCUCUAAUCUUUUCGUAUUGUUGGUGCAUGCUGGGAGUCACAUUGUUAUGCAUGCUAGCAAACAUUAGGAUUGGAAAUCUUACCCUGUAGGUUAUUAAUAUCUUUUCCACUAUACUGAGAUUCAGCAAUUUAAUCCGUAUGGUCGCACAAGCAGUUUUGUUUUCGGAUUUUUCUUGACAAACAUAUUGGGUACAUCAAUUUAAAUCAUAUUAAGGUCACACAAGCAGUUAGUUACAUUGCACUUGGGUCACCGACGGUUGCCGAGCUACUAUGAUCCUCUCAUGUUGUAGUGGCUAGCUGCUGCAAUUCAUGGAUCAUGCUCUCUCGUGGGAAGGAGGCUGUGGCUUUCUCAAUUGAUCAGAAAACAGAACCCUACAUAGUUCUUUUCUAGAUAUAUAUUGUUAUUUCUGAUGUUGUGUGGACCAUCAGAAACCUGAUGUGUGUGUGUAUCAUAGAAUAUCUUGCUAUUUAUGUAUAUUGCUUCCCUUUUAUUUAUGUUCUACUUCUCUAAAUAUAAGCCACUUCUUUUCUAUUGUUAGCGCUAUCUUUUGAUGUUAAUGCACUAAAAGUCUAAAGCCUUUCCCUCUGCAAAAUGAUGAUAUUAGAGCUAUGCGUCUUAUAAUCCGUACUGUAUAUGACAAUGCGAUAUUCAGUUAUAUUAUGUUUGUAGCAUGGCAUUUUUCCAUUCCUUUUCUUUUUCCGAUGAAUCACAUGGUAAAUUAUGAUCUACAAUGACUGCUCUUGCAAAAAGUUUGGAAUUCAGAGAAGGAUUCUACAACGAGCAAGGUUUUAGGUUCUGAAUCUAAAAGGCCUCUUCUUUAGUUCAGUCCUAGCAAAAGCUGAUCAGAGAAACAAAGAAGCAGCAACGAAUGGGUCCCUUUCUUGCCCACAAGAGUUGUCUGUGUGCAAGUCAUGAACCUUUUGUCCAUCAAUACAAGUGCAGGAUUUGAACAUGUUAAUUCUGACCUUCUGUUGGGAGUUUAUAUUAUACCUUUCAUGCGAAGUAGUUACAUUUAUCGCAUGGAAGACAAUGCCCAUAGAGUGGAAGGUGGAGAGAUUCAGACUUCGGAGGAUGUUAAUAUGCUCAAAGUUUUUCAAUUAAACAUGUUGAAAUCUUCCAUGUAGCUGUGAUUGUUCUCUCCGGACAUGGAGGAUCAGUUCUUGGACAAAUUUAUCUGUCUGUUGUAUGACUUGCCACCAUUUUUUCGAAAUUUCUAUUCACAUGUUAUCAAACCAAAAAUAUUUCAAUAUCUUAAAACUUUAGUAGAAUUAAUCUGCCUCUAUUUCUGGACUCUAGCAUUUUGUGCUUCUUCACAAGUUCUAAGUUGUUAUUUGGCGAUUAAUUUAAUUUGAUCUUGAACUUUGGGUUCUUGGCACUCGCCCGUGCAGGUUAUGACUAUGUCAUAGGUGACGUGCGGAAAGGUGACCAACAAGGAGAAGAUUGCAUGAAGAAUUCUUGCUAUCAACUAGGGCUGGAUGCCCCCAGGAAGAAUACUGAAAGGAGAGCAGAGUUCAGGGCAUGUUCAGCUCCAUCCAUGCAUCAAGGGAAAUAUAUACGAGGCAAAGGAAUUACGUGUUCUGCUAGAUGACAUAGUACAAGGUUCAGCAGCGACGACAUGAUCUCAAACAUGGCACUGAGUACAAGGCAAAGUUAUGUGGUGGGUCGGAUGGAGAGCUUGGCGCGGCGAUGUGGCAGGCUGCUCUACAGUGGCACUAAUGGAGAGCUCGGUCAACGAUGACGGGACGACCGACUGAUCUGCGGCAGCGUGGAAGGAGGGCUCGGCGGUCGACACGGCGGCUUGAUCCGCUGUUCUGCGACGUUUCGGAGAACUUCUUGUACUGGUGUGUGUGUAUGCAUAGGUGCUGUACUAUCCUGGGCGCUCACUCCCCCAGGAUCCCACAAGUUUGCAUAGAGCUCGGACGUCGGUGGCGGCCUGGCACGCUAAUCUGCCGCCUCCACAUGAGGAGUCGUGAGAUUAGUGCAUCACAUUCAAAAGUCGCCGCUCCGUGAUUAGGGCAUUGCAUUCAGGCAUUCAGUAGAUUAGAAGACAUAUUUAGCUAGCACUGGGAUCCAUCGCCAUUGUAGGGCCUUGAAUCUUUUCAAUCCUUGCCAGGACAGUUCUUGCCAUGGACGACGGGUCUCUCUGUGUGGUCUUGGUCCAAAAGCUAAAAUAGGGAAUAAGAUGUGCCUUGCCGUGUGGAGUGUUGGGUAUCUUUUGCACUUGCUCCAUCAGCUGCAGAAACUAUAGCCCAAAUGCAGCAUACUGCUACUAUUUCAUAUCAUUGAUUGAUGAUUUGUUUUUUCAUAAUUGAAUUGGCGAAUGAUGAAAAGGUGUAAUGUUCAGGGAUUUUUGCUAGAUGAUUUGUUGAUCCAGUUUAAUUUUAGUAGGC